AUGGGCCGCUGGACGGUCGCGUCGCGGGUCGCUUCGGCGGCGCCGCGCCGAGGAACGUCCGGGCUGCACAGAGGAGGACGGUGGGUAACGCCCACCCGGGGCAACCCGCGAGAAAGUGCAACAGAGAGCAGACCGCCCGCUCCGGUUCGCCGGGCGGGUAAGGGUGAAAGGGUGGUGUAAGAGACCACCGGCGUCCGUGGUGACACGGACGGCCAGGUAAACCUCGUCCGCAGCAAGGCCAGACAGCAGGCGUCGACGCUCCUCGCCGAGUCUGCGGGUAGGCCGCUAGAGGGUACUGGCAACAGUGCCCCGAGAGAGAUGACCGUCACCGAUCGCUUCGCCGAUCGGGACAGAACCCGGCGUACAGGCGGCCCAUUCCC
rnacentral:RNase_P_RNA from 1 species